GUGAGGAAUAUUGGACAAUGGAUGGAAAUCUGAUCCAGCCAUGCCGCGUGCAGGAAGACGGCCCUAUGGGUUGUAAACUGCUUUUAUACGGGAGCAAUAAGGUCUAUGCAUAGAUUGAUGAGAGUACCGUAUGAAUAAGCAUCGGCUAACUCCGUGCCAGCAGCCGCGGUAAUACGGAGGAUGCGAGCGUUAUCCGGCUUUAUUGGGUUUAAAGGGUGCGUAGGCGGCUUUGUAAGUCAGCGGUGAAAUUUUGCAGCUUAACUGUAAAAGCGCCGUUGAUACUGUGGAGCUAGGAUUUGGUUGCUGUGGGCGGAAUGUGUGGUGUAGCGGUGAAAUGCAUAGAGAUCACACAGAAUAUCGAUUGCGAAGGCAGCUCACAAAGCCAAUAUUGACGCUGAGGCACGAAAGUGUGGGGAUCAAACAGGAUUAGAAACCCCAGUAGUCC
rnacentral:rRNA from 1 species